UACGGGGGGGGUAAGCGUUGUUCGGAAUUACUGGGCGUAAAGGGCUCGUAGGCGGCCAACUAAGUCGGACGUGAAAUCCCUCAGCUUAACUGGGGAACUGCGUCCGAUACUGGAUGGCUUGGAUUUGGGAGAGGGAUGCGGAAUUCCUGGUGUAGCGGUGAAAUGCGCAGAUAUCAGGAGGAACACCGGUGGCGAAGGCGGGUCUCUGGGCCGAUACUGACGCUGAGGAGCGAAAGCGUGGGGAGCGAACAGG
rnacentral:rRNA from 1 species